GAAGGAAUGGCUAAGGAGGCAACCUAGAAAGCCACUGUGGUCAGGAACCCUUAAACUGGUGCUCUGAGGAAGAGACUGAGGGAAAAACUUCAGAGAGAAAUAAAUCAGCAAAAAAUAUAGAGAUGGAGAGACAUUGAUUUUUCUUUCUUGCUCCUACACACAGAGGACAUUGAUCCACCUCUGCAGCUUUUCAGAGUGGCAAGGAACAUCUUUGGCAAUUCUUACUACAGAUAUUAAAAAAACCUCCCCUGAAAAAAAGGAAGUGCUUUGAAAAUGAAGAUAACAAGUUCAACAAAGAUUAAAGGGUGAUUGGAAAGCAUAUGGAAGUUAAUGAGCAUAUUUCAAAGGGCUUCAGGCUGCCCAGUGCUGCAGGGAUAUGGAUGAGACAAAAAAGUCAAGUCUCGCAAAGG